rnacentral:rRNA from 1 species
CCCUUAGAUGUUCUGGGCAGCACGCGCGCUACAAUGGUCUUCGCAAACGGAUGCAUUCUCGAAGGAGAAUGCCAAUCUUGGAAUCUAUGCCUUGGUCGGGACAGUUGCUUGCAAUUUUUCGACUCGAACCAGGAAUUCCUUGUAAUCGUGAUUCAUCACAUCACGAUGAAUACGUCCCUGCCCUUUGUACACACCGCCCGUCGCUCCUACCGAUUGAAUGGUCCGGUGAAGUGCUCGGAUCGUGGCGACGUGGGUGGUCUGCCGCCGACGACGCCGCGAGAAGUCCAUUGAACCUUAUCAUUUAGAGGAAGGAGAAGUCGUAACA